GAUGAACGCUGGCGGCGUGCUUAACACAUGCCAGUCGAACGAAGCACCUUGAUUUGAUUCUUCGGAUGAAGAUCUUGGUGACUGAGUGGCGGACGGGUGAGUAACGCGUGGGUAACCUGCCUCAUACAGGGGGAUAACAGUUAGAAAUGACUGCUAAUACCGCAUAAGACCACAGCACCGCAUGGUGCAGGGGUAAAAACUCCGGUGGUAUGAGAUGGACCCGCGUCUGAUUAGGUAGUUGGUGGGGUAACGGCCUACCAAGCCGACGAUCAGUAGCCGACCUGAGAGGGUGACCGGCCACAUUGGGACUGAGACACGGCCCAAACUCCUACGGGAGGCAGCAGUGGGGAAUAUUGCACAAUGGGGGAAACCCUGAUGCAGCGACGCCGCGUGAGCGAUGAAGUAUUUCGGUAUGUAAAGCUCUAUCAGCAGGGAAGAAAAUGACGGUACCUGACUAAGAAGCACCGGCUAAAUACGUG
rnacentral:rRNA from 1 species